rnacentral:rRNA from 1 species
GAUGAACGCUGGCGGCGUGCCUAAUACAUGCAAGUCGAGCGAACAGACGAGGAGCUUGCUCCUCUGACGUUAGCGGCGGACGGGUGAGUAACACGUGGAUAACCUACCUAUAAGACUGGGAUAACUUCGGGAAACCGGAGCUAAUACCGGAUAAUAUAUUGAACCGCAUGGUUCAAUAGUGAAAGACGGUUUUGCUGUCACUUAUAGAUGGAUCCGCGCCGCAUUAGCUAGUUGGUAAGGUAACGGCUUACCAAGGCGACGAUGCGUAGCCGACCUGAGCGGGUGAUCGGCCACACUGGAACUGAGACACGGUCCAGACUCCUACGGGAGGCAGCAGUAGGGAAUCUUCCGCAAUGGGCGAAAGCCUGACGGAGCAACGACGCGUGAGUGAUGAAGGUCUUCGGAUCGUAAAACUCUGUUAUUAGGGAAGAACAAAUGUGUAAGUAACUAUGCACGUCUUGACGGUACCUAAUCAGAAAGCCACGGCUAACUACGUG